UGGGAAGAAGAUUUGAAGCUACAUGGCCA
rnacentral:piRNA from 1 species